GACGAACGCUGGCGGCGUGCUUAACACAUGCAAGUCGAACGGUAAGGCCCUUUCGGGGUACGACGAGUGGCGAACGGGUGAGUAACACGUGAGGAACCUGCCCUUGACUCUGGGAUAACAGUGGGAAACUUCUGCUAAUACCGGAUAUUCAGAUUCUGCCGCAUGGUGGGGUUUGGAAAGCUUUUGUGGUCAAGGAUGGUCUCGCGGCCUAUCAGCUUGUUGGUGAGGUAAUGGCUCACCAAGGCGUCGACGGGUAGCCGGCCUGAGAGGGCGACCGGCCACAUUGGGACUGAGAUACGGCCCAGACUCCUACGGGAGGCAGCAGUGGGGAAUAUUGCACAAUGGGCGGAAGCCUGAUGCAGCAACGCCGCGUGCGGGAUGACGGCCUCGGUUGUAACGCUUCAGUAGGACGAAGACGCAAGUGACGGUACCGUACAGAAGAAGCACCGGCUAACUACGUG
rnacentral:rRNA from 1 species